CUGGGACUGCGUGUAGCGGGAAGUGACAGUGCACUUCCUUCUUUUGGACAACAGAUUUAGUCGAUGUAGCUGCAUGUGAAUUAUUUGGGAAACAUAAUUGAUGUGAUUUCCAAGUGCAUCGCCUCUUAAAAGACACAAUUGGUCGGGUCUUUGUGUGAGUCUUGAAAGAUUCUGGCUGCUCGUCCUUGCUGUGGUGCUGCUCUGCCGAGCCACCCAUUGAGUGACCAGAAGACUGAAUGUCCUUAGUUCUAAAUAACGGACUCUGUACUGGUGUUACACAGCGGUGCAGGAAGAAGGCACACAGGAUCAUUAAAGACCCCAUCACCCCGGCAACACACUGUUCUGGUACCGCAGCAGACUCGGGGACAGUUUUAUCCCACGGGCCAUGAGACUGUUAAACUCCUGAACUCUGUGAAGUGUCACUACUUACAUAUGUUUAUAGUACACAUCUGUUUAUUCCACAUAUUGAUAUAUUAUUACAGUAUACAGUAUUUAUUCUACUGUACAAUUUUACAUUCGGUUUUAUCUUAUCUUAUGUAUAUAUUUGACUUAUUCCUGCAUUUUACU